rnacentral:rRNA from 1 species
GAUGAACGCUGGCGGCGUGCCUAAUACAUGCAAGUCGAACGCAUUGAGAGAAGUGCUUGCACUUUUCAAUUUGAGUGGCGAACGGGUGAGUAACACGUGGGCAACCUACCUGAUAGCGGGGGAUAACGAGUGGAAACAUUCGCUAAUACCGCAUAACAAUAGAGAAGGCAUCUUCUUUAUUUAAAAGGCGCUUUCAAGCGUCACUAUCAGAUGGGCCCGCGGUGCAUUAGUUAGUUGGUGGGGUGAAGGCCUACCAAGACGAUGAUGCAUAGCCGUGUUGAGAGACUGAUCGGCCACAUUGGGACUGAGACACGGCCCAAACUCCCACGGGAGGCGGCAGUAGGGAAUCUUCCACAAUGGACGAAAGUCUGAUGGAGCAACGCCGCGUGUGUGAUGAAGGCUUUCGGGUCGUAAAGCACUGUUGUAUGUGAAGAAAUGCUAGGCUAGGAAAUGAGCUUAGUUUGACGGUACCAUACCAGAAAGGGACGGCUAAAUACGUGCCAGCAGCCGCCGCGG